rnacentral:lncRNA from 1 species
GCAAUGCCUGCAAACAGCGGCCCGGCUCUCCGCUGGAGUGGGAACGCCUGCUAGGGGCCGGCUCUCAGCUGGAGUGGGAAUGCCUGCAAACAACGGCCCAGCCGGGGAUCUCGGGAACCUGAGCAGCACAGGGUUCAGAGGUCAGAAGAGUGGGCUUCCUCCAGGUGGCAAGGAAGGGGUGGUUGGUGAGUCCAGGUCAAAAAAGCAAGCUCCUCGCCCCCGCGCGUCUUAGAGGGGAGAAGCAAAUUUCCCACGCUCCCCUCAAGGAAGCACUGGAUCCAGACGUGGAAUUCCGCCCUGCCCAGGGCCUCCUCCACACCAGGUGAUUCCAGGAUGCCUGAAAGAGCACGACAGCGGUUCCUGAGGAAGGUGUUAACAUCACUGCUGUUUCCUUUUGCCACAGGCCUCGGCCAGCCAGCAAAGUCCUUCCAAAGGCAGCCCGGGGUCACUGUGUGAAGCCACCAUUUUUAGCAUCCUGGCUGCUGCCGGGCCACAGAGGCACCAGCCAGCUUUAGACUCCUGGAAAAGCAAGGAAUUCAAUCCCUCUUCCACUCAAAUGUGGGCUCCCAAUGUUCUCUGCAAAGACUGAAGUGCUGCCAUAAUUUAUAAGCUGGAAAGAAGAGGUGCAUUGUAUCGAUUUUAGGAGUGUGCUGAGUCUUUUUAAGCUCAUGCAUAAUGAAUGUUCUUUGACUUUUUUUCCAAACAAACUUUCAAGUGGAGCUGUUGUGACGAUGGCUGAAUGUAGUAUGAAAUGCACGCCAUGAAAUGGAACAGAGACAAUGGCUGAUGUGAAGAGGGAGUGAGAUUCCUGCCCUAUUACGAACUGGAGGAGCUUCCCACCACAGCCCAGGGGAAAGCCUUUGGCCGGCUAAAGACCACAGCACGUGUCGGACCUCCUCCUAUGGGCUCAGGGCCCCUCUCCGUGCUGCCUCUCCACCGGCAGCUUUGUCCAGGCAAGGAAGCCUGAUACAGGCACACCCCCGAACUGGGGCUGAGCCCGGGAGGAUUCUUGGCUUCCUGCAGGAAAGAAUUCAAGAGCAAGUCAACGGAGUAAAGUGAAAGCAAAGCAAGUUUAUUAGAACAAAAGAGAACAAGAAAACGGCUGCUGCACAGACACGUCAGGGUUACCCACAGGCAGGGUGGCAUGCGUGGAUUCCCGGCUGGCUACGGUUAUACCUAGUCCUAAUUCUGUGCUAAAUAAGGGGUGGGUUAUUCAUGAACUUUCUAGAAAAGGGGUGGGGAGUUCCCAGAACCACGUGAGGUAGGUUCCAGGGCAUUGGCAAACUGUCAUGGCGCUGGGGGGAGUGUCUUAGGCAAAUGUAUUAUAAUUCCUGGUCCCAGCUGGUGUUGGCUGGUUUCUUUGCUACAUCCCGUUUUGAUCAGCAGGGUCCUGAAAAUGAGUCCUGCUGAUCUCCAGCCUUAAGCCUGCAUCUAAACACCAGGGGUGAUGUGCAGACCUUCAGUGUACACACAAAACUCCACUCACGGGAGAUGUUGGGCUGUAUGGCUAUGCUCAACUUAAAAUGUUUAAAAACAGGCCGGGCGCGGUGGCUCACGCCUGUAAUCCCA